ACGUGGGAACGUACCUUUCGGUUCGGAAUAACUUGGGGAAACUCAAGCUAAUACCGGAUACGCCCUUACCGGGAAAGGUUUACCGCCGAAAGAUCGGCCCGCGUCUGAUUAGCUAGUUGGUGAGGUAACGGCUCACCAAGGCGACGAUCAGUAGCUGGUCUGAGAGGAUGAUCAGCCACAUUGGGACUGAGACACGGCCCAAACUCCUACGGGAGGCAGCAGUGGGGAAUAUUGGACAAUGGGCGCAAGCCUGAUCCAGCCAUGCCGCGUGAGUGAUGACGGCCCUAGGGUUGUAAAGCU
rnacentral:rRNA from 1 species